rnacentral:rRNA from 1 species
CAAUAGCGUAUAUUAAAGUUGUUGCAGUUAAAAAGCUCGUAGUUGGAUUUCUGGUUGAAGCGACCGGUCGGGCGUUGAUUCGUCCGCACUGGAGUCGGUUUUGGCCAUCCUCUAGGAAAGUGCGUCUGGUAUUAAGUUAUCGGGCGUAUGAUCCUGGUCUUUUACUGUGAAAAAAUUAGAGUGUUUAAAGCAGGCCUUCGCCUUGAAUACAUUAGCAUGGAAUAAUAAGAUAGGACUUUGGUCUAUUUUGUUGGUUUGCAGACCGAAGUAAUGAUUAAUAGGGAUAGUUGGGGGUAUUUAUAUUCCGAUGUCAGAGGUGAAAUUCUUAGAUUUUCGGAAGAUAAACUUAUGCGAAAGCAUUUACCAAGGAUGUUUUCAUUAA